rnacentral:misc_RNA from 1 species
AGCAGCCGCGGUAAUUCCAGCUCCAAUAGCGUAUAUUAAAGUUGUUGCAGUUAAAAAGCUCGUAGUUGAAUUUCGGGAUUGACACAUCGGUCGUGCCUUAAGGGGUAUGAACUGGUGUAGUCAAUUUCUCACCUUCUGGAGAACCGCGAUGCCCUUAAUUGGGUGUCGCGGGGAACCAGGACCUUUACUUUGAAAAAAUUAGAGUGUUUAAAGCAGGCAUUUUGCUUGAAUACAUUAGCAUGGAAUAAUAAAAUAGGACGGCAUGAUUCUAUUUUGUUGGUUUCUAGGAUCACCGUAAUGAUUAAUAGGGAUAGUUGGGGGCAUUAGUAUUCAAUUGUCAGAGGUGAAAUUCUUGGAUUUAUUGAAGACUAACUACUGCGAAAGCAUUUGCCAAGGAUGUUUUCAUUAAUCAAGAACGAAAGUUAGGGGAUCGAAGACGAUCAGAUACCGUCGUAGUCUUAACCAUAAACUAUGCCGACUGGGAGUCAGACGAUGUUAAUUUUUUAAUGACUCGUUUGGU